rnacentral:tRNA from 1 species
GGCAUGGUGGCCAAGUGGUAAGGUAUUGGUUUCAUAAACUGAAAAUCAUGGGUUUGAACCCUGUCUGUGCUU